rnacentral:lncRNA from 1 species
AGUCAGGGAAAAGUCGCGGUUUCACCCAUGGAGCACGCAGGAGAGAAGCUUGCAGUACAGCGGGGUUCGGGGCUCAGACCAUGGGAGCCUGCAGGACCCGAGCUGUGCCUCAGAGCCGUGCGAGGUCUGGACUCUGCCUCGGGAAUUGGAGUUCUCCGGAGUAAAACCCACGAAGAGCACCACAGGAGGCUGCGGGAUCUGGGGAAGCCCUGCUCCCCGGGAUCCCACGGAGACUUCCAGGAGCGUGGAAUCGAUGGACAGACUGACGGACACAAAGGCUGUAACUGAGAUCUGGCAGCUCUCGCUCUGUGCCAAUGACUGGCUGCGUAACCGAACUCAGGCCUCACAUGAGAGACGCUUGCUCUCACAUCGUUCAAGGGAGAAGCUUGCCCUGAUAGUAUCUACGGAUUGACAUCCCGAUACCAACACCUUCCAUGCUCACACCGCACCCCCGGGUGCCCCUCACUUCCUCUGCAUGGCUGGGCGGCCUCUCACAGCUGUGUUCCCUCAUUCCACCUGCGAGUGGGGAAAAAUCAAUAUUUUCGAGGAAUGAAUGGACAUGUCUUUCUCUGUCAGGUGAGCCUACUUAAGGAAACAACUCAAGUCAGAAGAAAUCUUGGCUACUGAAGCUUAGGAUGAGCCAAGCUGGAAACACCUCCAGUCCGUGUUCGAGGCAGCAGAGGGGUCACGUGACCGGCGCACCUCCGCUUCUCCUAGGGCUUCCGUUUUGUUUUGUUUUUUCCCCCCCAAAGCUGUGGGGGUAGAAUGACCCUUUCACAGGGGUCACGUAAGAUAAUCGGAAAACACAGAUACUUAUGUUACAAUUCAUAACAGUAGCAAAAUUACAGUUAUCAAAAAGCAAUGAAA